AGGGGCCGUCGUUAGAAGUUUUUCUCACGCAUAAGCACAUCCCCAGAAGGCUGAAGGCCAUGUAAAAAAUUUCACCAGCUUACUUUUCCUCAGCCUUCUCCAUGUGGCUUUUAUCACUGACACACCCAAGAGGGGUUGUCUUUCUAACCACAGACAUGGAACUAGUCCCUUUCUUUCAAAAGCAACAGCAUGCUAUCGGAUUGUCAGUGUCUUUCUCUGGAAAUUGCUCUCCAGAUCUCCCGCCCACUCCUAGACAGGUGAGUCAUCCUCAGGUUUAUUGGACUCACGCUCUAUGUGCCCAGAGCCUGCAGGUCUGCGUAGUUCAACCCUCCUCCAUCGUGGCCAUCUGCAUUCCACUGGGGCCUCUGACUUCCUGGAUUUCCUUUGCUUGUUUCCCGUUGAGCUUUAUUAAUGGAAGGAAAUAAGAAGGCCAUCACUUAUUGCUGAGCCCUCUGCAGAAACCAUUCAUGUCUCGCUUUAUAUAGAUUUUAUUUUUGUUUCCCUCUGCAUCAUAUUUUCCUACUGUUUUCCGUAGCGAAGCUUUUAGAGUCACUGUAGGAUGAGAAGCCAUUCUUUCUUCCUUCCAUGUCUGGGAGAGAGUGGAGCUGCACUGGCCAAGGACUGUUGGCUUUAGAAGACAAACAUCGGCACCUUGACCAGUCGCCCCUGCUGUGGAAUGGCACUGGCCUGGGGGCCAGUCAAGACCUCAGACACUUUUCACCCAGUGUUUGCCACCAGCCUUCUCUCCUCCACCCCGAGCCCCUGCCUCUCAGAGGUACAUCCGGCCAUGACCAGAAGGUGGACCUCAGAACCUUCGCUUCUCACUCUCCAUACUGACCAAGAGUUUCCUGGAAUCAUUUCAACCUUUAGCAGGGUUUCCACAAGGAAACUGACUCCUGGGUACGUGGAGUUGGUGGACAGUAAUUCUUUUCUGACACAGUCAUGGCAAUAGGUUCUAAUAUCCUUGAGUGGUUCUGCAGGCUAGCCCUGAAACAUAAGCCUCACUAGCAUGUGGGUUUGAAGAGAGCACAAAAGGGUGACAUCAAGAUCUGCAUGAUUGCUAUUUGCCAUUUGCUUCAGCAAAGAACCCUGGCUACCACUCUGGGUUCCUUAGCCCUACCAAAUGACUUGGGGGCGGGGGCCUUCACAAGAGGAGAGUCAGCUAUGAUUCAGGUAAAUAAAAAUGAGUAAGAACGAAGGCAUCUUGGUUUCAGGACACACUGAGAAGACAAAUUAAUCUAGAAAAAUAUAAUAUAACAUAAUAUAAUAGGAAC
rnacentral:lncRNA from 1 species